rnacentral:rRNA from 1 species
UAUUUUAAAGAGAGUUUGAUCCUGGCUCAGGACGAACGCUGGCGGCGUGCCUAAUACAUGCAAGUCGAACGAACGGAGGAAGAGCUUGCUCUUCCAAUGUUAGUGGCGGACGGGUGAGUAACACGUGGGCAACCUGCCUGUAAGUUGGGGAUAACUCCGGGAAACCGGGG